rnacentral:rRNA from 1 species
AGUGAACGCUGGCGGUAUGCCUAACACAUGCAAGUCGAACGGCAGCACAGUAAGAGCUUGCUCUUACGGGUGGCGAGUGGCGGACGGGUGAGGAAUACAUCGGAAUCUACUUUUUCGUGGGGGAUAACGUAGGGAAACUUACGCUAAUACCGCAUACGACCUACGGGUGAAAGCAGGGGAUCUUCGGACCUUGCGCGAUUGAAUGAGCCGAUGUCGGAUUAGCUAGUUGGCGGGGUAAAGGCCCACCAAGGCGACGAUCCGUAUCUGGUCUGAGAGGAUGAUCAGCCACACUGGAACUGAGACACGUCCCAGACUCCUACGGGAGGCAGCAGUGGGGAAUAUUGGACAAUGGGCGAGAGCCUGAUACAGCCAUACCGCGUGAGUGAAGAAGGCCUUCUGGUUGUAAAGCCCUUUUGUUGGGAAAGAAAAGCAGCAGGUUAAUACCCCGCUGUUCUGACGGUACCCAGAGAAUAAGCACCGGCUAACUUCGUG